AUGGGAGAUCGGGGCGGGGGGAGAUCUGGUGGUUGGCGCGACAACACAGCGCGCGGAGGGUUCGGAGGUGGGCGAAGGGCUCCGCUGCCAAAUCAGUCUCGACACAUGGUGUGGCAGCGGCCAGAUCCGCCACCGGCGACGUCGGGAGAUUCGAGAUCUGGUGAUGGUGAAGUUGGAGACAGAUGGGAAGCUGCUGCGCGUGCCAUGAGCGGCGCGACCAAGGAGAAGACGGCGGGCUCCAAGGAGCCGCCUCCGCAUCCUGCACCUGGGCAAGCAACGACCAAGGGCAAUGCCGAGAUCUGCAUCAACUAUUCCCUCCCAGGUCAUUUCGCUCCUCGCUGUCCUACUAUUCGCUGCGAAAAAUGCAACAAAUUAGGUCAUAUGGCUCAGCUUUGCCAAGUUCUGAGGCCUUGGGAAUGCAUUCCUCUCAUGUGUGGGUUUCAGUCGCCUGGUCAGGGAUUCUUCUAUAUUCCUGAUAUGUGUGCUGCUAAACAUAGUGCAGAGAAAACUAAUAAUGUGGUGAUUACUAUAGUGGAGGGUGAUGCUACUGUUAAAGACAUUGAGCAGGAAUUUAAUGCUAUAUUUGCCAAAAAACCUGGGAAAAAGAAAUGGCGCUGUACGGCCCACUCUAUUGGCCCUGCUCAGUAUGUGAUGCGAUUCCCUAAUGCUAGUGAAGUAGAAAGGGCAUGUUGUUAUGGAAAACGCUUGCCUCUGAAGGAAGGGAACAUUGUUGUAUGUAUUACUCCUUGGACUGCUUCUAUUGGAGCCAAAGGCAUUAUGGAGAAAGCAUGGGUUAGGGUUCGCAACAUUUCCAUAGAGAAAAGAUGCACUGAACAUAUAGCUUAUGCUGGAGCUCUAGUUGGGAUUACUUUAGAUGUUGAUGAAUCGACCGUUCAUAAACCUGAAUAUGCUAGAAUCCUUCUCGGUUGUAGAGAGGUUGAGAAAAUUCCCCCUUCAGCUGAAGGAAUGCUGGGAGAAUAG
rnacentral:rRNA from 1 species